rnacentral:rRNA from 1 species
CUUGACAUGUCAGGAAUCCUGGAGAGAUCUAGGAGUGCCCGAAAGGGAGCCUGAACACAGGUGCUGCAUGGCUGUCGUCAGCUCGUGUCGUGAGAUGUUGGGUUAAGUCCCGCAACGAGCGCAACCCUUGUCAUUAGUUGCUACGAAAGGGCACUCUAAUGAGACUGCCGGUGACAAACCGGAGGAAGGUGGGGAUGACGUCAAGUCCUCAUGGCCCUUACGGGUAG